GACGAACGCUGGCGGCGUGCUUAACACAUGCAAGUCGAACGAUGAAGCUAGAGCUUGCUCUGGUGAAUUAGUGGCGAACGGGUGAGUAACACGUGAGUAACCUGCCCCGAACUCUGGGAUAACUGCUGGAAACGGUAGCUAAUACUGGAUACGACCUACGAAGGCAUCUUCUGUAGGUGGAAAGAAUUUCGGUUCGGGAUGGACUCGCGGCCUAUCAGCUUGUUGGUGAGGUAAUGGCUCACCAAGGCGACGACGGGUAGCCGGCCUGAGAGGGUGACCGGCCAAACUGGGACUGAGACACGGCCCAGACUCCUACGGGAGGCAGCAGUGGGGAAUAUUGCACAAUGGGCGCAAGCCUGAUGCAGCAACGCCGCGUGAGGGGUGACGGCCUUCGGGUUGUAAACCUCUUUUAGUAGGGAAGAAGCGAAAGUGACGGUACCUGCAAAAAAAGCACCGGCUAACUACGUGCCAGCCGCCGCAGUAA
rnacentral:rRNA from 1 species